rnacentral:lncRNA from 1 species
AUCCCAACAUAUUACUAAUUUAAACCUGUCUUAGAUUACAUAUUAAUCUUAACUUAAAUCUUAGGUUCUAUAGACCUUUACGUAAUACAAUACCAAAUAUUAUUACAAGAUAAUAAUAAUAAGGUAAUUAUUACAAUAACUCCUUAAGUUCAUAUAAGCACAAGCACUUAAUAAUAAUUUAUUAUGUAACUUUGCCUUUUCCCAUAUCUUUCCCGGACGUACCAACGUUCUUAGUUUUAACUGAAACAUUAUAUUCAACGCAAGGGUGAGCAAAAGCUUGCUCAGCAAGGAAUUAAACAGUUGAAUAUAAUGGAACAGGAACAAAGGAAAUAUAAAUCAUAAGAUACUAAGCAAAACAAUUCUUUAAAAGCUUUGAGUUUGAAAAUCAGACUUUAGCAUGCUGUAAGGUCAAAUAACUAGUGAACUCUGUAUUAAAAUUUACAGUACUAAAACUGCAAUUCAUGGAUACAAACAGUUAUUAAAACUGAACUAUAUCCUAGACUUGUACUUUAGGUGAUCAGCCCAAGUACCCUAUAUUGUGCACAACAUAACAGUCUAAUGACACAUUACAUGUCCUGCGAAAUCAUAUAUUCGGUAACUUAUGCCCCUAUAAAAGAGUUGUUCGUUCACAGCAUUAUAUAAAAGUCCGCACCACAACAAAAUGGUUUGGAGAACAUUAAAUGAGAUUUUCAUGAAUGAAUAUUAUCAAUAUAUCUCAACAGUUGUCUAGCCGAAAUAAUGACAUUGACAUACUUUCAAUAUCAUACAAAUAAUUGAAUUUGAAGUAUUACAGUUCAAUAAUUUCAAUAACUUGAAAAUAUAAGCCUUCAAGUUAAGUACUUGCAAUAUAAAGUUAAUUGAGUAAAAAAGGUUGAUGUAUACGUACUUGUCUCUGGCGUCGAUUAAACUUCUUAAGAAAGUGCUUUGCCACUGAGUAGCCUACAUAUAUUCAGUAUUGACUUACUUAGUUAUCUUUUAGCACAAAGUUUAUAUUAUUUAUUUACAUAGCUCAAUAUGGUUAUUGAAGUUAUAUUCAAUAAUUAUCAGAUAAACUACUUACUAACAUUAACAGUCCUAUAGAUAGCCUUUAUUUACAAAUACAGUUAAGCACACAUAGACACUUAGCUUGUCACAACAUAUUUCCGCAUCUUAGGAUACAUAUAGUGUAAGAUCCUAACUUUUAUGAAUAAAGAUUUAAUUUAUCGAAAUAUAUUUUUGAAUAUUAUGGUGUGAAUUUGAUAUAAUUUUAUAGUUGUGGGUAAUAUUUAUAAAUUUUGCAAAGUAAGCAAGUUGUUUUAAAAUAUUCGAUUGGUCGGAGAAUAUUCGUUUUAACAGGGAAUAUUCGUACGACGACACAAUCAUUGGUGGACCCCACAACGGAAUUAUUGUCGGAGUUAGAAAACAACAGAAAUAUCUUUUUAUAAACAUAACGACGAUAGUUUUAUCGUUAACUGUUGAAAUAUCCGGUGAUAAAAGUACAGUAAUACGCGUGAUUGCAUAGUAGCACACGAUAUUGUACAAUAUCUUUGAUUAUUGAUGCUUAUGUGGGAAGUCACUCAGUUUUAUUCAAUUAUUGUCACAGUAAUUGCUGCAUAGUAUCUCUCAUAUUAUUGAUUCAAUUAUUGUCACAGUAUCAUCUGCACAAUAUUUUAUAUUAUUAAAUCAAUAAUUGAGACGACAAAGUUAUUCAUAUUAUUAUUUGCAUUAUUGACGAUGUCUAGAAAAUUCUGUCGAGGAAAGGGGUUUGAUCACCUAAUUGCACGCCAAUAGGGAGAAAUCCUUAUAAAAAAGGCCCCUUUCUUUCCUGGGAAUGAUUUGGUUGUUAAUAUUGUGAGUUAUAAUAUUAAUGAUGAAUACGUUCGUGUUAACUAAAGAUAAGAAUAAUAAUUGAUGAGUGAAAGAUGUUUGUUCAUUUAGUUUUCUUUAAUUCUUCCGUGACCCAAUUACCCUCAAAGGAGAUAAUUCUGUGAUUGGCUGGUUUUGUUAUUAUUGACCAAACGGGUAAUUAAUUGGAUAAAUAAGUAAUUUAUUGCUAUUAGUUCAUAUGCAUGUACUAUUAGUGGAGGUUGUGCAAGAUUGAUAAUACGUGAGGGACUAAAUUAAAAAUAGAGGCAAAGAUGAAAGUACUAAACUGUAAUAAUUCGAGCCUCUAAACGUGCAAUUAUCUAAACUAUGUUUUGCUAUAAAUAGAAGCUCAUUUCUUCUUUCAUUCUCACCAAUUCACUAAGACUCACAAGAGUAACUAUAGACAAAGAAACUAUAUAGAGGAAGAAGAAGAGUAUUCUGUUACUUCACUAUUGCAAUAUCGUCUUUUACUAAGGUAAGGAUAUUAUUUUUGUUCAAUAUUCGUAUAAAAUAAUAUUUUCUUCCAUACUCUGUAGUAUGUAAGUAAUAUUAUUUCGUUUCGUAUUCCUAAUUCUACACUUAUUUUGUUAAAGUAUUGCUUCUAUACUCGGUGAAAUUAGUAGAAUAUAUAUCCUUGAAAUUUGCGUUUCAUCUAGUAUCGUUUCACAAUGAUAUUUUUCUGAACAUUAUUGUUAAAUUUUAAGCUUUUCAUGCCGGAGUACUAUUCAUGUGUACUAUUCAUUUAUACGACACUAUUCAUAAAUACGAUACUAUUCAUGAAGUACUAUUCACGGGGUACUAUUCACGAGGUACUAUUUACUCGGGUACUAUUCAUGACAAAAAAUUGAUUUCUUUCGAUUCAAAUUAUUUUUGAUACAAUAUUAUUCUUGAAUUUUGCUCCACAAAGCAGUAUCAUGUUGACAAUUUGAACAUUAUUGAAUUCUGGAUAAAUUAAAUUAUAAAUCUUUAAAAUUUAUCAUUUACUUUCAUUUAAUUGAAUUCUUAUAUCAUUGUCAUCAUCCUCAUGCUUAUAUUGUGAUAAAAGUCAUCUUUGGCCCGUAGUGCAUAGAUGAACUGUUGAUUGAUAUGAUUAUGACCAGGGAUUAUUCGGUAUAAUCAUGACCUGUAAUGUUACAAAUGAUGUGAUAAAAGUCCUCAUUGGCUCGUAGUGCAUUGAUGGAUAGUUGUUGGCAUGAUCAUGACCAUUGGUGAUAACACGAUCAUCCUUGGCCCGUAGUGCAUGUAUAAUUCAUAGAUGUGAUACUAAUGAAUAUCCUUGCAGGCUGUAGUGCAUGGAUAAUUCAGUAAUGUGGAUUAUUUAUUGAGCUGAGUCUCAUCGAUAAAAUUGAUGAUAAAUUUUUUAAAUCAUAGAAGAUAAUGGAUAUCAUGCUCUACUUGACUCUUCUAAUGGAUUGCUUGUUCCUGCAGUUAAACUUGUUGUUUAUUAUAUUCUAUGAGUUAACACCGUUGACGGCUAACGUUAAUUUAUUAUGCAUUAUCUUAGUCAUAAUUUUUCUUACUGGGCUAGUUGAGCUCACUCUUUUGCUUUCAUUGUUCUAUUCAGGAAAUGAGAACGUAGCCGGGACUAGUCGAAGAAUAGAGUGACGGUCCGAGAUGGUGGCUGUAGUAGUCCUCACUAUUUUAUAAAAUAGUGUGAUAAUAAUUGUAAUGAGAACUUUAUUUGAGUUUGGAUACUGUCUACGAGACAAUAUUCGUGUUGAAACUAUCAGCUACGUUUUGUCGUAUUGUAUAAAUGAAGUUUGUAUUUAAGUUAUGUACCAUGUAUUUGGCGAUUCAGAAUGGAUGAUGUAAACCUAUUUUGGGGGCGUCACAUAUAGUACUUUUACUUGAUUAGUUCACAUAGACACAUAUCACAUAUAACUUUCAUACAUCCAAAACAUACAAGUUUCAGUUCCAACAUAUCAUGAUAUAGAUCUUAGACCAUAAAACAUCUUUAUUAGUUCAUUUAGACAUGUUAGGAUAUUUACAAGCAUUAAACUUCACUUUUAAAAUAUAACUCAAAAACACAAAUUUGUGAUUUUUAAGGAUUUUUAGUAAUUUUUAUAGUAACCUUUUGAAUCUCCCAUUUGUGCAAUAUUAUAGACCCCAUACCAAAGUAUUUUAUUCUUGGUUUAGGUUUUUAAAACUAUCAAGUUAAGCAAUUCAAAAACAGGUCCCGAAUGGGUUGUUUUACACAUUUUCUUGGUAAAAUAUGCAGUUUUUAUGAUUUUUAAGGCUACUUUGAUGAUUUUUAUAAAUGUUUGUAUUAGGCUUUUAGACAUAAAAUCUGGAUAUACUUCUAGACUGUAUAUCAAGGUAUUUUUGUAUUGGUUUGGUUGCUCAAGUAAGCCUUUUAUGCUUCUUUAAACUGAUACUCAAAUUAGGUUGUUUAUCACAGUUUAGCUUUUACUAACUUUGGUCAAUUCUUGCCAUUUUCAUUUCUGGCAUCUUGGGUUCAUUCCAACACUUAAACUAUUACUAGUUAAGACUAGUUUUAGCAUUCCCUUGACUUUGCUAAGCAUAGAUUUGUUUUUGACCAUCUAAACCUAGUUUUUUCUAGCUUUUACAUACUAACUUCUCAAGUUCUUGUAUACAUUAGCAUUCCAACAUUUAGAAUAGCUUAUUAUACCUCUAACUCACUUUGUUUAAGGUGUUAAAACUGAGUUUUAAGUAAAAUGGCAAAAUCACAAUUUUACACUUAGAAAAAUCUACAGAAUCUACAGUUUUGAUUAUUUUAUAGGAUAGUUUGGUGAUUUGUUUGAAUUUCUAGGUUAAAUUCUUAGUUCAACCAUUUGGCCUUGCUUCUAUACCAUACAUCAAGAUAUUUUAAUUAAGGUUUAUGUUUCUUAUUCCUGUUAAUUAGGCUUCCCAAAAAUAGGACUCCAACGUAACUGGGCGGUUUUCUCACUUUCAUACAAAACUGUUUUUGAACAUUUUCCAAAUUUUCCCACUUUUGGCCACUAGGAUAGUCUAGGCAUGUGUAUUUAAGUUAAUUAAGGAUACUUUUAGCAUCACCACAUUUUAUUUAAUCAUCUAGCCAAUUUUGACCAAUCAAAACUCAUUUUAGGAUUGAAAAUAGAUCCUAACUUGGUUUUCUUGCUAGUUUUGGUCUUGGCAAUGAUUGGAAAUCAUUAUAAGCAUGCAUUAGCAUCUUUAUGAGUUUAUUAUAGGCUUAUAUGUUCAGGUGUUAAGGAUCACCCAAAACAACCUUCUUUUGGCUUAAAAAUGUGAUUUUUUACAAGUAUAAGGCUUAAAACAGUUUAGACUUGGUUUCUUUGGCUUCUGUAGCUCACUUAUGCUAUAUUAUAAAUAUUAAAACUUGCCUAUAUGGCCCAGGUAUGUCGGUGCUUCAUUUUGGUGUUUAUUUCUAUCAUAAAACUUACUUUUUAUGGUUUUAGCCAUGAAUUUGAACUACACAUAAGUUAGACCUCAACUAACUUAAGGAACAACUUUUAAAUGAUAUUUAUUUACAUUGCAAGUACAUCAUACUGUCUGAUAAACUCAGUAGCUAAAAUUGUCCAUAACAGUUCCUAUUUCUAGGAUUUUAAGCACUGUUUUGGCAUUUGUUCACAAACAGUCCCAACCUAGGACUCAAGGGACCUUUAAGCCCUUAAACAAACUUUAAAUCAUCAUUAAAACUUAAUACCAUAUACAUUAGCAUGCUUGUACAAGUUAGUUCAGUUUCCAAUAAUAAAACAACCCUUACUAGUUUUAUAAGUAUGAAUUAGUUAUACUAUACAAUAACAGUCUCAAGUAUUCAAAAGCUUAAGUUGUAUGGAUUUUUACUCCAUACACAUGCUAUAUAAUCAAUACACAUGGCUUUAAAAGUCACAUAUUAAAGACUUUAUUCAUUAGAUCAAAACAGUCUUCUCUUAACUUUAAGUUUUAGCACAUGAACUAGUAAUACAACAAAAAUCAGGCUAUGACUUGUAACACAUAAACAUGCUAUUAUGGACUGAUUUACACAACAUCUCUCACAGCAUUACUAGGACUGCUCAAACAGUCAAUUCUCUUAGUUUAUUAGCAAGUCAUUUAGUUGGUUAAUGGCAUAUCAUGACAGUUAAAACAGUGGCAAAGUUUAGCAUGUACAAAACAGGUCCAAACUUGGCUUAUUUUGGUUUCAAGCUUUCUGAAAAUUCUGAUUAGGUUUUAUUAUUAUUUGCAUCCAUGGUUUGGUUCUUUAGACACCUUGAUUUAUCAUAUGCAAAUCACAUUAAGGGAAAAGGAGAUCAGUUCCUAAGUAGCUUGUUAACGCAGUUACUUUUAAUAAGUUUAACUCGUAUGUGAAACAAUCAUAGUAUGCAAGUUAUACUACAACAUGGUAUAUUUAAGUAUAGAAGCAUGUUUGAGGCAUUCAUUUUAAUAUAUGAGCAAGUAAACACGAUUUCGACUUGAAUUCAUAGCUAGUAUGUCUUGACACCAAAAUAGUCCUUACAUUAGCAUUCUAUCAAACAGUUGGUGAACAUUAGUUUUAUUUACAUAAAACAACUACUUUCCUACCGUGUUCUAAAAAUUCCCGCCUAGGCGUUAAGCCCCUUUGACGCCUCACGUAGGCGGCAAAAAAAAUCCUUCUAGGAAAUUAGGCGGGGCCUAGGCAGAGUCUAGGCGGAGAUUUUUUUUUAAUAACUAUCCAAAUUAGAUCUUGAUAUAUUUAUUUUUCUAACGAUUUACCAUAUCCAUAAUACAGGUUGUAGCAUAUCAAAUCACAACCAGAAGUGAACAAUAUCAAGUCAAAAUGGAUAAUUUUAUUAUAGUUGUGAUUUUUUGAACUUGUACCAACUUUAAAUUAUAUAAAUGAUGAUAUAUUUGUAAUAUUUAGUUUAAUUUAAUAUAAUUCUUAAAUUUAUGUUUAGUUUCUUAAGUUUUAAUAUUGAAUUAAAAUUUUGAAAUUUGAAAUUUUAUUAUUUAAUAGCAAUCUUGUUUAUGAAUAAAACUAAUACAUUAAAAAUAUGUUUGAACUUUGAACAAUUGCAUGUUUGUGUUUGAAUUUUGACAUUAGCAAUAUGGAUAUGUGUUUGAACUUUAAGCAAAUGUCUUUAUAAUCUUUAUUAUAGAUUUUUUUUCUUUAUAUUAUUGUUUUGUUUGGAUAAAUGUAAGAUAAAAAAAUAUUAAAAUUGACUUAAAAUAAAAAAUUCCGCCCAGGCCCCUUAGGCCCUAGGUGCUACCCCCCGGCCGCCGCUCACCUAUCGCCUAGCGCCUUUUUGAACAUUGGUUUCCUAUCCAAUUUCCCCAGCCUUUUGGCUUUUGAUUUUGAUUGAUUAAGGUCUUCAUGCAAUGCUUCAAUCCACACAAAGAAAUAAUCACAACAACACAAACUUUCUAACAGUUGACAUAGCAGACAAAAUAUGUAAACAUAACAAUGAAACAUCCCUCAUAAGCUUAUUCAAAUCAUUCAGCCACUAACAACCCAGUCUUGCUAACUAAAUGGAAUUGAAAAGGAUUGAGAAGAGUUUAAAUUAGCUUACCUUGCUAUUUCAGAGAUCACAAAUGGUUAUGUUGCUCAAUCUUCUAUCUUUCCCAACGGUAAUCUUACUGAUCCCUAUAUCUCUGUGUAUACUAACUGAACUCCAAGUGCAUAAGAUGGCCAUAUAUGACUGAGUUUCACUCUCUCUCAAUCAGUCUAUCUUACAAAUUGCUGCUCAAUCAUCAUUGCUGCUACCUGGCUCUUACAUGACCUCUAUAAGGCUUCCUGACACAUCUCUUAGCAACCAAUUUGCCCCCUAGCAGCUUCUGCCCAGCCCCUACUUUAACCCAUAUUCAGCCACUCUAAACAUUGUAAGAGUCAACUAACUGUUAUCUUGCUAAUUGAAACCAAACUCAGUUCAUUUUCCUCCCAAUGCGACUGCCGAAUUGGAUAAGGAAAAAUGGGCUGAAAUGGUU